UGCAAGUCGAGCGCUGUAGCAUACAGAGCGGCGCACGGGAUAAUAACGCGUGGGAACCUACCUUUCGGUUCGGAAUAACAUCGGGAAACUGGUGCUAAUACCGGAUACGCCCUUCGGGGGAAAGAUUUAUUGCCGAAAGAUGGGCCCGCGUUGGAUUAGCUAGUUGGUGAGGUAAUGGCUCACCAAGGCUACGAUCCAUAGCUGGUCUGAGAGGAUGAUCAGCAUCACUGGGACUGAGACACGGCCCAGACUCCUACGGGAGGCAGCAGUGGGGAAUAUUGGACAAUGGGGGAAACCCUGAUCCAGCCAUGCCGCGUGAAUGAUGAAGGCCUUCGGGUUGUAAAGUUCUUUUGGCGGGGACGAUGAUGACGGUACCCGCAGAAUAAGCUCCGGCUAACUUCGUGCCAGCAGCCGCGGUAAUACGAAGGGAGCUAGCGUUGUUCGGAUUUACUGGGCGUAAAGGGCGCGUAGGCGGUUUUGUAAGUUGGAUGUGAAAGCCCUGGGCUCAACCCGGGAAUUGCAUUCAAAACUACAUGACUAGAAUUUGGUAGAGGUUGGUAGAAUUCCCAGUGUAGAGGUGAAAUUCGUAGAUAUUGGGAAGAAUACCCGUGGCGAAGGCGGCCAACUGGACCAACAUUGACGCUGAGGCGCGAAAGCGUGGGUAGCAAACAGGAUUAGAUACCCUGGUAGUCCACGCCGUAAACGAUGCAUGCUAGACGUUCGAACCAUCAUGGUUCAAGUGUCGCAGCUAACGCACUAAGCAUGCCGCCUGGGGAGUACGGCCGCAAGGUUGAAACUCAAAUGAAUUGACGGGGGCCCGCACAAGCGGUGGAGUAUGUGGUUUAAUUCGACGCAACGCGAAGAACCUUACCAACCUUUGACAUGUCCAGUAUGGAUUUGGGAGACUAGAUCCUUCAGUUCGGCUGGCU
rnacentral:rRNA from 1 species